rnacentral:lncRNA from 1 species
UUCUAUCAAAUGUUUACUAGUACACUAUUCCUUGUUGAGAGUACAUCAAAUUAUCUGCUAAGUUCUGCCAUAUGCAAGUGUGUGAAAAAUUGGUUGUUAGUGCAAGAAUGAAGAUACUAUUGUUUGAAUAGACACUUCCGUCAACAUAUCAUACACAUAAGGAUCGCAAUUGAGACGGAGUAUUUCUCGGACUAAUAUUCUGCUACAGUUCUUUUUGCAAGAAAUUGCAAUUGCAAGCGAAAAAAUAGGUGGUUAAGCUGCGUCUCGUCCGUAC